GAUGAACGCUGGCUACAGGCUUAACACAUGCAAGUCGAGGGGCAGCAUGCCAGUUGCUUGCAACCGGUGAUGGCGACCGGCGCACGGGUGAGUAACGCGUAUCCAACCUUCCCGCGACCAAGGGAUAACCUGCCGAAAGGCAGACUAAUACCUUAUGUCCUCCUUUGAAGGCAUCUGACGAGGAGCAAAGAUCCGUCGGUCACGGAUGGGGAUGCGUCCGAUUAGCUUGUUGGCGGGGCAACGGCCCACCAAGGCUUCGAUCGGUAGGGGUUCUGAGAGGAAGGCCCCCCACACUGGAACUGAGACACGGUCCAGACUCCUACGGGAGGCAGCAGUGAGGAAUAUUGGUCAAUGGGCGGAAGCCUGAACCAGCCAAGUAGCGUGCAGGAUGACGGCCCUACGGGUUGUAAACUGCUUUUAUGCGGGGAUAAAGUUGCCCACGUGUGGGUUUUUGCAGGUACCGCAUGAAUAAGGACCGGCUAAUUCCGUGCCAGCAGCCGCGGUAAUACGGAAGGUCCGGGCGUUAUCCGGAUUUAUUGGGUUUAAAGGGAGCGCAGGCCGCCGUGCAAGCGUGCCGUGAAAAGCAGCGGCCCAACCGCUGCCCUGCGGCGCGAACUGCUUGGCUUGAGUGCGCCGGAAGCGGGCGGAAUUCGUGGUGUAGCGGUGAAAUGCUUAGAUAUCACGAAGAACCCCGAUUGCGAAGGCAGCCCGCUGUGGCGCCACUGACGCUGAGGCUCGAAGGUGCGGGUAUCGAACAGG
rnacentral:rRNA from 1 species